GCGUCGGUGGUGUAGUGGUAAGCGUUGUUGCCUCUCACCCCAGUCGGUUGGGGUUUAAAUCCCCGUCGACGCC
rnacentral:tRNA from 1 species